rnacentral:lncRNA from 1 species
AAGAUGGGAAUUUCUCAAUAACCCUCUUUUGGCCAGAGACUUUCUUUGUAAUGAUGAGAUAUUCAAGAUUAUUCUCAUCUAUUGUCUCAAUAUGAUAGCCAUUCCGGCGCAUAUCUUUAAAACUCAAUAUUCUCUUAGACUUGGAGGAGAACAUUGCAUUCUCUAUGAUAAACAUUGUUCCUCUAGGCAGAGUUAUAGUUGCUCUUCCGGAGCCUUCAAUCAAUUUACUNN